rnacentral:rRNA from 1 species
GGUUAAGCGAAUAAGCGUACACGGUGGAUGCCUAGGCAAUCAGAGGCGAUGAAGGACGUGCUAAUCUGCGAUAAGCGUCGGUAAGGUGAUAUGAACCGUUAUACCCGACGAUUUCCGAAUGGGGAAACCCAAUAUCCAAUGGAUAUUAUCAUGACGUGAAUACAUAGCGUCAUGAAGCGAACCGGGAGAACUGAAACAUCUCAGUACCCCGAGGAAAAGAAAUCAACCGAGAUUCCCCUAGUAGCGGCGAGCGAACGGGGAACAGCCCAGAGUCUUAAUCAACAGCAGCAUCAGGAGAACGGUCUGGAAAGUCCGGCAGUAAAGGGUGAUAGCCCCGUAUCUGAAGAUGCUGUUAUUGUGAACUCGACGAGUAGGGCGGGACACGUGUUAUCCUGUCUGAAUAUGGGGGGACCAUCCUCCAAGGCUAAAUACUCCUGAUUGACCGAUAGUGAACCAGUACCGUGAGGGAAAGGCGAAAAGAACCCCGGCGAGGGGAGUGAAAAAGAACCUGAAACCGUGUACGUACAAGCAGUAGGAGCCUCUUUAUGGGGUGACUGCGUACCUUUUGUAUAAUGGGUCAGCGACUUAUAUUCUGUAGCAAGGUUAACCGUAUAGGGGAGCCGUAGGGAAACCGAGUCUUAACUGGGCGAAUGAGUUGCAGGGUAUAGACCCGAAACCCGGUGAUCUAUCCAUGGGCAGGUUGAAGGUUGGGUAACACUAACUGGAGGACCGAACCGACUAAUGUUGAAAAAUUAGCGGAUGACUUGUGGAUGGGGGUGAAAGGCCAAUCAAACCGGGAGAUAGCUGGUUCUCCCCGAAAGCUAUUUAGGUAGCGCCUCGUGAACUCAUCUUCGGGGGUAGAGCACUGUUUCGACUAGGGGGUCAUCCCGACUUACCAACUCGAUGCAAACUGCGAAUACCGAAGAAUGUUAUCACGGGAGACACACGGCGGGUGCUAACGUCCGUCGUGAAGAGGGAAACAACCCAGACCGCCAGCUAAGGUCCCAAAGUCAUGGUUAAGUGGGAAACGAAGUGGGAAGGCUCAGACAGCCAGGAUGUUGGCUUAGAAGCAGCCAUCAUUUAAAGAAAGCGUAAUAGCUCACUGGUCGAGUCGGCCCGCGCGGAAGAUGUAACGGGGCUAAACCAUGCACCGAAGCUGCGGCAGCGACACUUAUGUGUUGUUGGGUAGGGGAGCGUUCUGUAAGCCUGCGAAGGUGUACUGUGAGGUAUGCUGGAGGUAUCAGAAGUGCGAAUGCUGACAUAAGUAACGAUAAUGCGGGUGAAAAACCCGCACGCCGGAAGACCAAGGGUUCCUGUCCAACGUUAAUCGGGGCAGGGUGAGUCGACCCCUAAGGCGAGGCUGAAAAGCGUAGUCGAUGGGAAACGGGUUAAUAUUCCCGUACUGGUGGUAACUGCGAUGGGGGAACGGAGAAGGCUAGGUUGUCCGGGCGACGGUCGUCCCGGUUCAAGCAUGUAGGCAGAGUGAUUAGGCAAAUCCGGUCACUUAAUGCUGAGGUGUGAUGACGAGCCACUAAGGUGGUGAAGCAAUUGAUGCCCUGCUUCCAGGAAAAGCCUCUAAGCUUCAGGUUACCAACAAUCGUACCCCAAACCGACACAGGUGGUCAGGUAGAGAAUACUCAGGCGCUUGAGAGAACUCGGGUGAAGGAACUAGGCAAAAUGGUGCCGUAACUUCGGGAGAAGGCACGCUGGCGGUAAGUGAAGUCCCUUGCGGACGGAGCCGAAGCCAGUCGAAGAUACCAGCUGGCUGCAACUGUUUAUUAAAAACACAGCACUGUGCAAACACGAAAGUGGACGUAUACGGUGUGACGCCUGCCCGGUGCUGGAAGGUUAAUUGAUGGGGUUAUCCGUAAGGAGAAGCUCUUGAUCGAAGCCCCAGUAAACGGCGGCCGUAACUAUAACGGUCCUAAGGUAGCGAAAUUCCUUGUCGGGUAAGUUCCGACCUGCACGAAUGGCGUAAUGAUGGCCAGGCUGUCUCCACCCGAGACUCAGUGAAAUUGAACUCGCUGUGAAGAUGCAGUGUACCCGCGGCAAGACGGAAAGACCCCGUGAACCUUUACUAUAGCUUGACACUGAACAUUGAGCCUUGAUGUGUAGGAUAGGUGGGAGACUUUGAAGUGUGGACGCCAGUCUGCAUGGAGUCAACCUUGAAAUACCACCCUUUAACGUUUGAUGUUCUAACCUAGGUCCAUAAUCUGGAUCGGGGACCGUGUCUGGUGGGUAGUUUGACUGGGGCGGUCUCCUCCUAAAGAGUAACGGAGGAGCACGAAGGUUGGCUAAGCAUGGUCGGACAUCAUGCGGUUAGUGCAAAGGCAUAAGCCAGCUUGACUGUGAGAGUGACGGCUCGAGCAGGUACGAAAGUAGGUCUUAGUGAUCCGGUGGUUCUGAAUGGAAGGGCCAUCGCUCAACGGAUAAAAGGUACUCCGGGGAUAACAGGCUGAUACCGCCCAAGAGUUCAUAUCGACGGCGGUGUUUGGCACCUCGAUGUCGGCUCAUCACAUCCUGGGGCUGAAGUAGGUCCCAAGGGUAUGGCUGUUCGCCAUUUAAAGUGGUACGCGAGCUGGGUUUAGAACGUCGUGAGACAGUUCGGUCCCUAUCUGCCGUGGGCGUUGGAAGAUUGAGAGGGGUUGCUCCUAGUACGAGAGGACCGGAGUGAACGCACCACUGGUGUUCGGGUUGUCAUGCCAAUGGCAUUGCCCGGUAGCUAAGUGCGGAAGAGAUAACCGCUGAAAGCAUCUAAGCGGGAAACUUGCCUCGAGAUGAGUCUUCCCUGUCACCUUGAGUGACCUAAAGGAACGUUUAAGACUAAGACGUUGAUAGGCUGGGUGUGUAAGCGUAGCGAUACGUUGAGCUAACCAGUACUAAUGAACCGUGAGGCUUAACCUG